UAGCUAACUUUGGCAUUGAAAGUCCGCUAGGCCGGACAGAUCGUCGUGUUUGAGUUACGGUCCCGUCACAAUUGGUAUCAGAGCAUCAGGUUCUUUGGAACAUCUAAGGGAGUAUGGAAGGCGGCAGUGAAAUCACCCAAGCUAGAAGAGACAAAUCUAAGGGUCAAAGGUCUCGCUCCAGGGACGCCAUUGAGGGGUUGGAGACUAGGCUGGCCAAAGUGGAGUUG
rnacentral:lncRNA from 1 species